AAGGCUUUAAGUUAAUUAAACUAAUAGCCUUCAAAGCUAUAAAUAAAGGAAUGCUUUAAGCCUUA
rnacentral:tRNA from 1 species